CGACGCGCGAGGGCGCGGGCGGGUACCGGGUUCCCGUUUUUCCCAGGCCCCGAUCCCCGCCCACGCACGAGGCCCCCGGCCCACGCACGAGGCGCCCACGCCCAUCGUGGAGGCUCCGCCUGGAAAAGAAGUCCGACUUCCUCUCCAAGCUGCUCCGAGGGGAAUGGGGAAUCGGCAGGAAAUGACCCGAACUGCCAGCCUGCGCCUUUGCAGCCGGCCCUCGCUUUGCUGAAGACGAGCAGCUCCCACCAAAGUCUUGCCUCCCCUUACCCCGAAAGCCCCGCUCAGUUCAAUAUUUCAAGUGAAAAUCUGCCUGUUCGAAAAGAAAAUAUUCACAAAUGAGCAGUGUAUUAGAAGACAACUGAAUUGCUUCUAAGAAUGGU
rnacentral:lncRNA from 1 species